AGUUAUAUACUUAUAAUGACAUAUCAUUUCGAGUAUAUGAAGUUCCGUUUUAGAAUAGGCCUAAUGGUGAUAAAACUGAAUGGAUAAUUCGAAGUUGAAAAUCAUGUUGGAUAAUUACCUAAGUAUCACAUGACGUUGGGAGUCUAGCGAUUGGUCAGAGGUCAUUGCCUGGGCAUGUUCUGGCAAAGUCUGAUCCAAAGACAGAUGAUGUUAUAUACAUGAGGUUGACUUCCAGUUCAGCCAUCCUUCAAAAUACUGUAGCGUUUCUACGUUUACAUAUACCCGCGGAUAAGGUGGUUGCUUCAGGACACACAAGAAGAAGGAAUGAAGAGUAUGACGUCUUCUAUAAUGGGGUUGUCAUGCAGCUCGAACAUUCCAAACAAUUCAACAGCCUUGAACAAUGAAUUGUAGUGUUAAUUCAUUGGUAUAUGAUGGAAAUAAAAAAAAUGUACUCUAUUCUUUCUGCUGUUUCUUGUUAUACUGUCAUUGGCGAAUGAAUAUAAUUUUGGUGUUAUCCGUAUGUUCUUCUGUCGAUAGCAGAAAAUGUUCUUCUACAUGUGCUCUAAAAUUAAUAACUACACAUGCUCUAAUUUGAAAAAAACAACACAAUACUUAUGGGGUGUAGAUGGUGAAGGAAUGUAAU
rnacentral:lncRNA from 1 species